GUCCCAGUUCGGAUUGCAGGCUGCAACCCGCCUGUAUGAAGUUGGAAUCGCUAGUAAUCGCGGAUCAGCAUGCCGCGGUGAAUACGUUCCCGGGCCUUGUACACACCGCCCGUCACACCAUGAGAGUCGGGAACACCCGAAGUCCGUAGCCUAACUUAUCUGAGAGGGCGCGGCCGAAGGUGGGUUCGAUAAUUGGGGUGAAGUCGUAACAAGGUACC
rnacentral:rRNA from 1 species